CCUACGGGCGGCAGCAGUAGGGAAUAUUGCUCAAUGGGGGAAACCCUGAAGCAGCAACGCCGCGUGGAGGAUGAAGGUUUUCGGAUUGUAAACUCCUUUUGUUAGAGAAGAAAAUGACGGUAUCUAACGAAUAAGCACCGGCUAACUCCGUGCCAGCAGCCGCGGUAAUACGGAGGGUGACAGCGUUAAUCGGAAUUACUGGGCGUAAAGGGCGCGUAGGCGGGAUAGCAAGUCAGAUGUGAAAUCCUAUGGCUUAACCAUAGAACUGCAUUUGAAACUGUUAUUCUAGAGUAUGGGAGAGGUAGGUGGAAUUCUUGGUGUAGGGGUAAAAUGCGUAGAGAUCAAGAAGAAUACUCAUUGCGAAGGCGACCUGCUAGAACAUAACUGACGCUGAUGCGCGAAAGCGUGGGGAGCAAACAGGAUUAGAUACCCUUGUAGUC
rnacentral:rRNA from 1 species